UACGUAGGGUCCGAGCGUUGUCCGGAAUUAUUGGGCGUAAAGGGCUCGUAGGCGGUUCGUCACGUCGGGAGUGAAAACUCGGAGCUUAACCCCGAGCCUGCUUCCGAUACGGGCAGACUAGAGGUAUGCAGGGGAGAAUGGAAUUCCUGGUGUAGCGGUGAAAUGCGCAGAUAUCAGGAGGAACACCGGUGGCGAAGGCGGUUCUCUGGGCAUUACCUGACGCUGAGGAGCGAAAGUGUGGGGAGCGAACAGG
rnacentral:rRNA from 1 species